GAUGAACGCUGGCGGCGUGCCUAAUACAUGCAAGUAGAACGCCGAAGGAAGGAGCUUGCUCUUUCCGGAUGAUUUGCGAACGGGUGAGUAACGCGUAGUUAACCUGCCUGGUAGCGGGGGAUAACUAUUGGAAACGAUAGCUAAUACCGCAUAACAGUAGAUGUUGCAUGAUAUCUACUUAAAAGGUGCAAUUGCACCACUACCAGAUGGACCUGCGUUGUAUUAGCUAGUUGGUGAGGUAACGGCUCACCAAGGCGACGAUACAUAGCCGACCUGAGAGGGUGAUAGGCCACACUGGGACUGAGACACGGCCCAGACUCCUACGGGAGGCAGCAGUAGGGAAUCUUCGGCAAUGGACGGAAGUCGGAACGAGCAACGCCGCGUGAGUGAAGAAGGUUGUCGGAUCGUAAAGCUGUGUUGUAAGAGAAGAACGAGAGUGAGAGUGGAAAGUGCACACUGUGACGGUAUCGUACCAGAAAGGGACGGCUAACUACGUG
rnacentral:rRNA from 1 species